rnacentral:rRNA from 1 species
ACACUCCUACGGGAGGCAGCAGUGGGGAAUUUUGGACAAUGGGCGAAAGCCUGAUCCAGCAAUGCCGCGUGUGUGAAGAAGGCCUUCGGGUUGUAAAGCACUUUUGUCCGGAAAGAAAUCCUUGGCUCUAAUACAGUCGGGGGAUGACGGUACCGGAAGAAUAAGCACCGGCUAAAUACGUGCCAGCAGCCGCGGUAAUACGUAGGGUGCGAGCGUUAAUCGGAAUUACUGGGCGUAAAGCGUGCGCAGGCGGUUUGCUAAGACCGAUGUGAAAUCCCCGGGCUCAACCUGGGAACUGCAUUGGUGACUGGCAGGCUAGAGUAUGGCAGAGGGGGGUAGAAUUCCACGUGGAGCAGUGAAAUGCGUAGAGAUGUGGAGGAAUACCGAUGGCGAAGGCAGCCCCCUGGGCCAAUACUAACGCUCAUGCACGAAAGCGGGGGGAGCAAACAGGAUUAGAAACCCUGGUAGUCCC